rfam:Pantoea sp. AS1 3__len__376349, whole genome shotgun sequence.
CCAGAUGUCUAUCGUCUCUUACGGUAAAGAGAAACCGGCUGUGCUGGGUCAUGACGAAUCGGCUUACUCUAAAAACCGUCGUGCCGUUCUGGUCUACUAAGAGAAUCACAUGAUUAGUAACUUCAGACUUCAUCUGUUG